GAUGAACGCUGGCGGCGUGCCUAAUACAUGCAAGUCGAGCGAACGGACGAGAAGCUUGCUUUUCUGAUGUUAGCGGCGGACGGGUGAGUAACACGUGGAUAACCUACCUAUAAGACUGGGAUAACUUCGGGAAACCGGAGCUAAUACCGGAUAAUAUUUUGAACCGCAUGGUUCAAAAGUGAAAGACGGUCUUGCUGUCACUUAUAGAUGGAUCCGCGCUGCAUUAGCUAGUUGGUAAGGUAACGGCUUCCCAAGGCAACGAUGCAUAGCCGACCUGAGAGGGUGAUCGGCCACACUGGAACUGAGACACGGUCCAGACUCCUACGGGAGGCAGCAGUAGGGAAUCUUCCGCAAUGGGCGAAAGCCUGACGGAGCAACGCCGCGUGAGUGAUGAAGGUCUUCGGAUCGUAAAACUCUGUUAUUAGGGAAGAACAUAUGUGUAAGUAACUGUGCACAUCUUGACGGUACCUAAUCAGAAAGCCACGGCUAACUACGUG
rnacentral:rRNA from 1 species